AACGAACGCUGGCGGCAGGCCUAACACAUGCAAGUCGAACGCCGUAGCAAUACGGAGUGGCAGACGGGUGAGUAACGCGUGGGAACCUACCUUACGGUCGGGAAUAGCUCAGGGAAACUUGGGGUAAUAUCGGAUACGCCCUUACGGGGAAAGAUUUAUCGCCGUUAGAUGGGCCCGCGUAGGAUUAGCUAGUUGGUGAGGUAAUGGCUCACCAAGGAGACAAUCCUUAGCUGGUCUGAGAGGAUGAUCAGCAACACUGGGACUGAGACACGGCCCAGACUCCUACGGGAGGGAGCAGUGGGGAAUAUUGGACAAUGGGCGCAAGCCUGAUCCAGCCAUGCCGCGUGAGUGACGAAGGCCUUAGGGUUGUAAAGCUCUUUUGGCGGGGAAGAUAAUGACGGUACCCGCAGAAUAAGCUCCGGCUAACUUCGUGCCAGCCGCCGCAGUAA
rnacentral:rRNA from 1 species